UGAGAAAAUCUGCAGCGAUUCUGAGCUUUCAUUAUUGAUAGAGACUUGGAACCUGCAACCCACAGAAGUCCCAAGAGUGCGGAUUUAUCCAUGGAAUUAUACCAAGAAUAAAUUAGACCACGGACAUCAGAGGCACCACUCACAGGCGUAUGAACUACUGGCUCCAGUCCACUGUUUCCGUACUUUGGUUAUUUCCAUUUAGUUUAACUUGAUUAGAUUCCAACACUCAGUAAACUUGAUCAAAUUUUUUUUGAAGAAUAUGUUUGCAUAUCAACUACAUUUUUCACAUCCUUGCUCAGCCUCUGGAAAAAGCUCUUAAUAAAGAGGGAACUUACAGUUUCGCCUGUAAAAUAGCAACAGCCAAAUUUCCACUAUGAUUUGGG
rnacentral:lncRNA from 1 species